rnacentral:rRNA from 1 species
AUUGAACGCUUGCGGCAGGCCUAACACAUGCAAGUCGAGCGAGCGGCGGACGUGUGAGGAAUGUAUGGGGACUGCCCUAUAGAGGGGGAUACCUACUGGAAACGGUAGCUAAUACCGCAUCCUAUCGGAUAACCCAUAUGGGAUUAGCUAGUAGGUGAGGUAAUGGCUCACCUAGGCGACGAUCCCUAGCUGGUCUGCGAGGAUGAUCAGCCACACUGGGACGGAGACACGGCACAGACUCGUACGGAGGCAGCAGUGGGGAAGAUUGCAAAAUGGGCGAAAGCCUAAUGCAGCCGUGCGGCGUGUAUGAAGAAGGCCCUAGGGUUGUAAAGUACUAUCAGUCGGGAGGCGUUACCGACAGAAGAGGCACCGGGUAACUCCGUGACAGCCGCCGCGGUAAUUC